rnacentral:sRNA from 1 species
UGGUUUGUUGGGGUUCUAGCACUGUGG